GGCCAAUCACCCUUUAAAUUAUUAGCCCACUGGGCAGAACAUCCACAGUGGAGAAAAUUCGAACGGUACAAUCUGCAAAUUCCCAGGGACUGAUUUCUCUAAUCAGUCUCAAUAACCCCAAUACAAAGGAUGAAAUAAAAUUCUUCAAAUUAUGUUAGAACAACAUUGUAAAACUUUACAUAAUAAUAAUAAUAAGAAGAAG
rnacentral:misc_RNA from 1 species